CCCCAACAGACAGCUUUGCUGGGCCAUUUCAAAAUCUGUCAAAGAAAUAUAUUUCUUCAGGGCCUGCUGGCCGUCAUGUGAUGCUCUACUAGAGUCUGGUGGGAAUUUGCUAUCUUAUUGCUAUGAACAGUCUGUUUGGUCAGCCUUAGGAGCUCUGUUUUUAUGUUAAUGUUGGUCAUGAACUCCAGGAAAGGAGGGUGUAGUGAGGCCUGCCCAACCCCCUCUCCCUGUCAUGGCCUGAACUCGUUUUUCAGGUUUCUUUGGGAUCCCUUUGGCCAAGAGGGGAGUCCAUUAAGUUGGUUGGGGGGCUUAGAAUUUUAUCUUUUGUUUACAAAGGCAUAUUGAGAACUUUGGUCAUUUUUCUAAGAGCAUCAGGUAACCGCAGGGUUUGGGGUGUUCAGCAAAGCCCGUGAUUACACACACACUGGACCUUCAGAGAAGUGUGCCAUCUAGCUACGACCACAGCCAUUUCUCCUGGUCUACCCCGUCCAUCGGGACGCACUGCUGCAGGGGAAGACUCACCCAUCAUGCAACCCCUCACUGCACCCUGGACAGUCACUUCUAAAAUGCAGGCCCUCAACAAGGUAUUGACGUGUGCAUUAAUCACCUUGAUUAUUACAGAGCCCCUCUGCGGUGGAAGGGCAGGUGCUGUCAUUCCUACAAAUGCAUAGAGCUCAAAGUUCAUCGCUCACCCAGGUGGAACCGGGAGAAAAAGAUGCGUUUGUCGAAGGCACCCAGCGCCACGAGCUUUCUUCACAAGCCAAGCAGCCCGCCUAAGGCCCAGGUCUCCCUCUCCUCGUCUCCCACUAGAUACACAUGGAUGAAGCCAGAUAGAUAACAGGUAGAGGAUAGAUGACAGGCAGAUGACAGAUAGGCAGAUGAUAGAUGAUCGAUAGAUGACAGGCAGAUGAUGGAUGACAGGCAGAUCACAGAUAUGAUAGAUCACAGAUAGAUGACAAAUAGGCAGAUGAUAGAUGACAGGCAGAUGAUAGAUGACAGGCAGAUGACAGAUAGGCAGAUGAUAGAUGACUGAUAGAUGACAGGCAGAUCACAGAUAUGAUAGAUCACAGAUAGAUGACAAAUAGGCAGAUGAUAGAUGACUGAUAGAUGACAGGCAGAUCACAGAUAUGAUAGAUCACAGAUAGAUGAUAAAUAGGCAGAUGAUAGAUGACAGGCAGAUGACAGAUAGGCAGAUGAUAGACUGAUAGAUGACAGGCAGAUGACAGAUAGGCAGAUGAUAGAUUGAUAGAUGACAGGCAGAUGACAGAUAGGCAGAUGAUAGGUGAUUGAUAGAUGCCAGCCAGAUGACAGAUAGGCAGAUGAUAGGUGAUUGAUAGAUGACAGCCAGGUAGAUCACAGAUAUGCCGGAUCACAGAUGAUGGAUAGGCAGAUGAUAGAUGACAGAUAAUAGAUGAUAGAUUACAGAUAGACGAUCGAUAGGAAGAUAAUAGAUGAUAGGUACAUGACAGAUCAUAGAUAAAUGACAGAGAGGUAGAUGAUAGAUGAUAAAUAGGUAGAUGGUAGGUAAUAGAUAGGUAAUAGAUCGCAGAGAGAUGAUAGGUAGAUGAUAGCUGAUUGAUACAUGAUACAGAGAUGAUAGGUACAUGAUAGAUGGAUAGAUCAUAAAUGACAGCAGAUGAUAGAUGAUAAAUAGGUAGAUGACAGGUUAUAGAUAGGUAAAUUACAGAUGAAAGAUAGGCAAAUGAUAGAUGAUAGGUACAUAAUAGAUGGAUAGAUCAUAGAUAAUAGAUGACAGGUAGGUGAUAGAGGAAAGGUGGAUGAUAGAUGAUAGGCGCAUGAUGAUAGAUACCUGACAGAUGGAUAGAUGAAAGGUAGAUGAUGGACAGGUAGAUGAUAGAUGACAGAUAAUAGAUGACAGAUUACAGAUAGAUGAUCGAUAGGAAGAUGAUAGAUGAUAGGUACAUGACAGAUCGAUAGAUGAUACGUAGAUGAUGGAUAGGUAGAUGAUAGAUAAUGUGGAUGAUAA
rnacentral:lncRNA from 10 species